AUUGAACGCUGGCGGCAUGCCUUACACAUGCAAGUCGAACGGUAACAGGUCUUCGGAUGCUGACGAGUGGCGAACGGGUGAGUAAUACAUCGGAACGUGCCCGAUCGUGGGGGAUAACGGAGCGAAAGCUUUGCUAAUACCGCAUACGAUCUACGGAUGAAAGCAGGGGACCGCAAGGCCUGGCGCGGACGGAGCGGCCGAUGGCAGAUUAGGUAGUUGGUGGGAUAAAAGCUUACCAAGCCGACGAUCUGUAGCUGGUCUGAGAGGACGACCAGCCACACUGGGACUGAGACACGGCCCAGACUCCUACGGGAGGCAGCAGUGGGGAAUUUUGGACAAUGGGCGAAAGCCUGAUCCAGCCAUGCCGCGUGCAGGAUGAAGGCCUUCGGGUUGUAAACUGCUUUUGUACGGAACGAAAAGCCUCUUUCUAAUAAAGAGAGGUCAUGACGGUACCGUAAGAAUAAGCACCGGCUAACUACGUGCCAGCCGCCGCCGUAACAC
rnacentral:rRNA from 1 species